GUGGAUUUUAAAUGUUUAAUAUUUGUAUUCAAUUUUAGAUGGUAGAAUGCCUCUUUUUGAAUCUCUCCCCAGAAUUGAAAAAUGUUGCUGUUUCUCUUUGAGAACUGGAUCAAUUAUAUUCGGACUUCUUGGCAUAUUAAGUGGCCUACAUCUGAUUGAUUUGCUGCGGCCUUGUAGUGGUGAAAAAUUAUAUAUGAAAUUCUUCAAAUUCAUAUGGGCGGUGUCUGAAUUGAUGAUUUUCGGUGCCAGCAUUAUAUUCCUGAUUGGAAUAUGUUGCCAUAGAAAAAGGAUUACAGCAACAGUAUUUCUGUCGACCAUAGCUAUCUCUAUCAUAGUGUCUAUAUGUAUGGGUAUAAUGGGCACUGUGGAAUUUAUCGACGAAAACAAUUGUAUUAGUUUAUACCAUUUAAUAGGAUGGGUUUUAAAU